rnacentral:rRNA from 1 species
AUUGAACGCUGGCGGCAGGCCUAACACAUGCAAGUCGAGCGGAUGAAGGGAGCUUGCUCCUGGAUUCAGCGGCGGACGGGUGAGUAAUGCCUAGGAAUCUGCCUGGUAGUGGGGGAUAACGUCCGGAGACGAGCGCUAAUACCGCAUACGUCCUGAUGGUGCAAGUGGGGGGUCUUCGGACCUCACCCUCUCAUGUGAGCCUAGGUCGGAUUAGCUAGUUGGUCGGGUAAAGGCCUACCUAGGCGGCGAUCCGCAGCUGGUCUGAUAGGAUGAUCAGUCACAUGGGAACGGGGACACGGUCCUGGCUCCUGAGGGAGGGAGCAGUGGGGAAUAGUGGACAGUGGGCGAAAGUAUGACCCAGUCAUGCCGCGUGUGUUAAGAAGGUGUUCGGAUCGUAAAGCCCUCUAAGUGGUGGGGAAGGGCUGUAAGUUAAGACCUUGCUGUUGUGACGGUAACAAGAGAAUAAGCACCGGCUAACUACGUG